AUUGAACGCUAGCGGGAUGCCUUACACAUGCAAGUCGAACGGAGUGGCGAACGGGUGAGUAAUGUAUAGGAACGGGCCCCGUAGCGGGGGAUAACUACGCGAAAGCGUAGCUAAUACCGCAUACUAUUGGAGCGGCAGAUAUCGGGUUAGCUAGUCGGUGGGGGAACGGCGCACCAAGGCGACGACCUCUAGCUGGUCUGAGAGGAUGACCAGCCACACUGGAACUGAGACACGGUCCAGACUCCUACGGUAGGCAGCAGUGGGGAAUAUUGCACAAUGGGCGCAAGCCUGAUGCAGCCAUGCCGCGUGUAUGAAGAAGGCCUUCGGGUUGUAAAGUACUUUCAGCGAGGAGGCGUUACUCGCAGAAGAAGCACCGGCUAACUCCGUGCCAGCCGCCGCGGUAAUAC
rnacentral:rRNA from 1 species